rnacentral:tRNA from 1 species
GUCCCCGUAGCUCAGCCGGAUAGAGCACCAGUUUCCUAAAUUGGGGGCCACAGGUUCAAAUCCUGUCGGGGACACCA